UAAGCUGACACACAUAAUUGAGCUCUAAACACUAUAUCUCUCUCAGAAAGUUCUGCAUACUUCCAAAAUCCUUCAAUACUCUUGAGGGGAGAAAGUGGCCCAGCUAUAGGGGUAAGUGGUAUUAUAAUACUCUGCAUCCCUGGAAGCUAUGUGGAAGACUAAGGUUUGGUUCCUGGGUUGACAUGUAUACACCACCC